CGGGGUGUGGCGCAGUCCGGAAGCGCACCUGCUUUGGGAGCAGGGGGUCGGAGGUUCAAAUCCUCUCACCCCGA
rnacentral:tRNA from 1 species